GCGGAGGAAAAGAAAAUAACAAUGAUUUCCCUAGUAACGGCGAGUGAAGAGGAAAGAGCUCAAAGUUGGAACCGGGCUUCCUUAGGGAGUUUGGAUUGUAAACUGUAGAAGUGUUUUCCAGGCAAGCAGCGCAAAAAAGUCCUUUGGAACAAGGCAUCAUAGAGGGUGAGAAUCCCGUCUUUGGCGCUAGCAUUUGUCUUUUGUGAUACAUUUUCAAAGAGUCAGGUUGUUUGGGAAUGCAGCCUAAAUUGGGUGGUAAAUCUCACCUAAAGCUAAAUAUUGACGAGAGACCGAUAGCGAACAAGUACCGUGAGGGAAAGAUGAAAAGAACUUUGAAAAGAGAGUUAAACAGUAUGUGAAAUUGUUGAAAGGGAACCGUUUGGAGCCAGACUGGCUUGACUGUAAUCAAUCUCGGCUUUGGUCGUGAUGCACUUGCGGUCUAUGCCUGCCAACGACAAUUUUGGUUGAAGGAAAAAACUGGGAGGAAUGUGGCCAGCCUCGGUUGGUGUUAUAGCCUCUUAGAAAAUACUUUGACUGGGAUUGAGGUCUGCAGUGGAUGCUCUCGGGCGAAAUGCUGGGGUGCUUGUGUAGAUGGAUGCUAGAAUUUCUGCCUCGGGUGGUGCUAGUGUUCUGAUGUGCAACUCGCUCUAUCCAUUUUUUAUCCGCUUAGGUGUUGGCUUGAUGACUCUAAUGAC
rnacentral:rRNA from 1 species